UAAGUUAAAACGGAGCAAAUACGGGAACCAGGGCGUCUCUGCCUUUCCAGUGUGACUGUGUCUGACCCAUUCCCCGGUUAACGCCCGGAUUUGCCGUGUCUCCUCCUACGGUCCUUCGACUGCAUCUCAGAGGGGGCCUUCCCGGGGCUCUGCCCAGAGAGAGGGGGCCUUGGCCCAGGCUCUGCCCGCCUGGUCCCAGGGAACUGCCGGCCGGGUCUAGGACCGGGAGCUGCUCGGGGAGGAGCGGACGGGAGUGCCGGAAGCCCUGCAGCCCUGCCCCUGGUGCAGUGAUAAACUGGAGCCGGACCUGUGUGUGUGGAUUGCGUGUUCCCUUAUUGUCUUCUCUUUCCGAAUUAAGUUACUGACGCCCUGAACACAGGAGGGUUUGUCUCCCGUUGUUCUCCAGUGAAGGCAAGCACGGCGCGGCCAGACAAGGUGUCCUCUCCAGGUGUAGACGUCUAAGUUGCGCUGUUUUGUCUCGACGCACGGUGGACGACUUCAGCUGUCUCCCUGCCUUCACUGCUGGGACUGCGAACGGUGCACUGCCCUGGAAGCUCUCCCUGCGAAACGUCCCCUAGCCCCGGGUGCACACGGCUGCUGCCGGCGCGGAUCUGGGUUUGGUUCCUUCGGGAUUUGGAGAGUGAGGCCUUCUAGGACCUCUCUCCACUGGAUGCUGGGCUGACGUUUUAUUUGGACCACACAGAGGCAACCCGGAUAUUCAUGCUGCCAGAAUAAAUUUCAGAGUGCAGCUUGUAAAACCACGGUUACCAGGAUUUGAUCGUGAGGUCUGUGUGGCGGGUUGUGACUGGUAUUUUAAAGUCAGACAGCAGGAAAUGGAGCGGAACAGAAAAUACCAGGUUUCAUCGGACGUACUGAGAAUAGGUGUUCUGUCAUCAGACUCUGAGCUCAAAGACUCACCCAGAUGUGCACAUAUGGGCGAUAGGGUUCCAGGAAUGAGACAGGAAGGGAGGGCACAGCUGUUCAAAAAAUGAGGAGGGGGGCACAGUCACUGAGAAAAGCAGGCUAUGACACAAAUUGGCAGGAACCAGCUAAAAUAAAGGUGGCGCCAAGCGUGAUCUGGUCAUCGAUGCAUCGUUCCUUCAUUUUAAUACUGAAACUCAUUCCCCUCCCGCAGGACAGGCGCCAUGACAGUUCCAGGGAUGACCACAAAGGACCCAAAUGUGGGCAGCGGCCCAGCCCCUCCCCUAGAACAGCAGGAAUGCCCCUCAGGCUCACUAGCGUGCGACAUUCCCCAGACCUCAGGCGCUGACAGCCCCGGGCCGGGCCCCUCGCCCUGGGACGGUCCCCACUCUGUCUCUGGGACGGUCCCCACUCUGUCUCUGGCUGUGCAUCCCUUUGAAUAAAUCCGCUUU